rnacentral:rRNA from 1 species
AUUGAACGCUGGCGGCAGGCCUAACACAUGCAAGUCGAACGAGUGGCGGACGGGUGAGUAAUGUCUGGGAACCUGCCCGAUAGAGGGGGAUAACUACUGGAAACGGUAGCUAAUACCGCAUACCAUCGGAUGUGCCCAGAUGGGAUUAGCUAGUAGGUGGGGUAACGGCUCACCGAGGCGACGAUCCCUAGCUGGUCUGAGAGGAUGACCAGCCACACGGGAACUGAGACACGGUCCAGACUCCUACGGGAGGCAGCAGGGGGGAAUAUUGCAAAAUGGGCGAAAGCCUGAUGCAGCCAUGCCGCGUGUAUGAAAAGGGCCUUCGGGUUGUAAAGUACUUUCAGCGAGGAGGCGUUACUCGCAGAAGAAGCACCGGCUAACUCCGUGCCAGCAGCCGCGGUUUC